rnacentral:rRNA from 1 species
CUACGGGUUGCACCAGUGAGGAAUAUUGCACAAUGGGGGGAACCCUGAUGCAGCAACGCCGCGUGGAGGAUGACGCAUUUCGGUGUGUAAACUCCUUUUAUAUGUCAAGAAAAUGACGGUAGCAUAUGAAUAAGCACCGGCUAACUCCGUGCCAGCAGCCGCGGUAAUACGGAGGGUGCAAGCGUUACUCGGAAUCACUGGGCGUAAAGGACGCGUAGGCGGGUUGGAAAGUCAGGUGUGAAAUCCUACAGCUUAACUGUAGAACUGCACUUGAAACUUCUAAUCUAGAGUAUGGGAGGGGGAGAGGGAAUUAGUGGUGUAGGGGUAAAAUCCGUAGAUAUCACUAGGAAUACCUAAAGCGAAGGCGAUCUCCUGGAGCAUUACUGACGCUAAGGCGUGAAAGCGUGGGGAGCAAACAGGAUUAGAUACCCCUAGUAGUC